rnacentral:lncRNA from 9 species
CUUGUUUGAAGAGCAGAUACCAACGGUGAGCUGUGCGCUUGGUGAUCCAGGCUCCUGUGAGUCACCGCAUGCGUUCCCAUCCCACAACAAAACGCCAGCCGUGAGGUAGCACUUAGUAAAGCUGACUCACUUCCUCAUUUGCAGAUGAAAGGGAUUGUCCCAGAAAUGACAGUCUCACAGAGCCAGCUUGUUUGCCCGGAGGAAAGAAUUCACUGAACAGCCACAGACUGCAUUCCAGAACGUUAGCCAACCACUUUGCAAAAGUGUCCCGUUGGGUCAGGGCACGGCCUGCCGCCACUCCUGGCAAAGAGACUCCAAAUGCCUGCCCGUGGGACAGAGGUCUCAUUGCAGGAUGUCAGUUCAGGCACUCAUGGGAAGACGUCACUGGAGCACAAGGCGAUGACGGUGUUGCUAAGAUGUCUGAGAGAAAAUGGCAAAGCAGAGCCUAGAGAGGUUGGUGCAGGCUCCCCGGGUCCCUCGGAAGUGGGGCUGGGCCUCAGAGGAUGUGCGUGAGCUGCCGGCCGAGUGAGAAGCCAGCCGUCCACAGACCAGGAAAGACCUCUCACCGGAACUUGCCCGUGCCAGCUCCCUGAUCUUGAUGCCCAGCCUCCAGAACUAUGAGAAAUAAAAUCCUGCUGUUUGGGAGUUCCCGUUGUGGCUCAGGGGUCAUGAACCCAACUAGUAUCCAUGAGGAAGCAGGUUCCAUCCCUGGCCUUGCUUGGUGGGUUAAGGAUCCAGUGUGGCCGUGAGCUGCAGUGCAAGGUGCGAACGCGGCUUGGAGCUCGUGUUACUGUGGCUGCGGUGUGGGCUGGCAGCUGCAGCUCUGAUUCAACCCCUAACCUGGGAACUUCCACAUGCCGGGGGUGGCACCCUAAAAAGCAAAAUCAAAUCAAAUCAAAUCAAAUCAAAAUAAAGUCCUGCUGUUCAAGCU